AACCGACGUCAUCUACACCAGAUUGUAGAAGAGGCGUUUACAAUGGUAACAAUGCUAUAAGUGGAGACCAUCCUUCUCCAAUGGAUUGCACAGAUUUAGUCAUAGGUGCCGCUAGAGGCAUGCGCAGUUGGAUUGGUGACUAUUAUACACGUGAUUUUUCUACUCCACUCCGGGAUCAGUUAUACGAUGGCUCAGAAAGUCUAACAGCAGCAGUUGGGUUUGAAAAGGACGGCUAUACAUACAUUCUAUUUCGAAGAAAAAUGAAAGGUCAAAGAAAUAUUCCACCCUCCCUAAAGUGCUAUAACAAAUGGGGAAACUGUUCAAGAAGCAAUGACGUAAAUUGUUUCCUAGUCACAUGGACUUAUGACACCAGUCAGAUUACGUUUACAAUCAAAGCUUAUUUAGCAUUAAAUCAUUGGGUUAGCAUUGGCUUCAAU